CCCUACGGGGGGCAGCAGUGGGGAAUAUUGGACAAUGGGGGGAACCCUGAUCCAGCGACGCCGCGUGAGUGAAGAAGUAUUUCGGUAUGUAAAGCUCUAUCAGCAGGGAAGAAAGAAAUGACGGUACCUGACCAAGAAGCCCCGGCUAACUACGUGCCAGCAGCCGCGGUAAUACGUAGGGGGCAAGCGUUAUCCGGAUUUACUGGGUGUAAAGGGAGCGUAGACGGCAAUGCAAGGCUGGAGUGAAAGGCGGGGGCCCAACCCCCGGACUGCUCUGG
rnacentral:rRNA from 1 species